rnacentral:lncRNA from 1 species
UGGUAUCAGAGCCUUAGGUUCACAGGAUCGGACCUAUAGAGACAGUGUCGGGCUCAUAGACGGUAGAGGUGGUCAAGCACAAUAGGAAAUCAUGUCCACUAGGAUAGGGUGUUGCGUCCUAUCUGUGAUAUGCCAUGAGUUAUGCAUGUGCCUUAUUGUUAUGUGUUGUUUAUGUGCUAAAGUGCUAUGUUAUGUGUUGUU